rnacentral:rRNA from 1 species
CUACGUGCCAGCAGCCGCGGUAAUACGGAAGGUCCAGGCGUUAUCCGGAUUUAUUGGGUUUAAAGGGAGCGUAGGCCGUGGAUUAAGCGUGUUGUGAAAUGUAGACGCUCAACGUCUGAAUUGCAGCGCGAACUGGUUCACUUGAGUAUGCACAACGUAGGCGGAAUUCGUCGUGUAGCGGUGAAAUGCUUAGAUAUGACGAAGAACUCCGAUUGCGAAGGCAGCUGACGGGAGCGCAACUGACGCUUAAGCUCGAAGGUGCGGGUAUCAAACAGGAUUAGAUACCCUGGUAGUCCGCACAGUAAACGAUGGAUGCCCGCUGUUGGUACCUGGUAUCAGCGGCUAAGCGAAAGCAUUAAGCAUCCCACCUGGGGAGUACGCCGGCAACGGUGAAACUCAAAGGAAUUGACGGGGGCCCGCACAAGCGGAGGAACAUGUGGUUUAAUUCGAUGAUACGCGAGGAACCUUACCCGGGCU